GGUCUGGUGGUCUAGUGGUAUGAUUCUCGCUUAGGGCACACCCUAUGCUUAGCAUGCGAGAGGUCCCGGGUUCAAUCCCCGGCCAGACCC